rnacentral:lncRNA from 1 species
GUGUCUGACUCUUUGCGACCCCAUGGACUGCAGCAUGCCAGACCUCCCUGCCCAUUGCCAACUCCUGGGGCUGGCUGAAACUCAUUUGAAGCUGAGAAGACUGGAAGACAAUUGGCGUUUUCAGUAUGUGCUGCCUCUACUGGCGGGAGUCAGAGAUGCCGUGUUAGAUGAGAGUGCGCAAGAUCGCGACAUAGCUCGUAGAAAUGUGAAAACAGCAGAAGUGAAGGAUGGUUAGACUCGCAAAGGUGCUAUGAAAUCUUCAUGUUCAAAUUUAUGCUUUCUUUUCCUUUUCUGACCACUUUCUUUAAUUAAUUUAUUUAGCAUGCCUUUGCUCUUAAUACUUUUUAAAAAGAUGCUAUCAACAAGAAGCUUUGUUCUAUGGUAAAGUU